UUUCCGUAGGUGAACCUGCGGAAGGAUCAUUAGAGAAUUGAAAAUGUCAGCGAACCUCUUCGGAGCCCCUAGCAUCAAAUCAUAUCCAUAACACCUGUGAACUGUAAGGCUGUCAUGAAAACGAACGUGAUUAGAGCGCCUGCCCAUUUCAUACGAACGUCAAAGUAACAAACGUCGUCUUAUAAAAAUCUAUUAUAACUUUCAACAACGGAUCUCUUGGCUCUC
rnacentral:misc_RNA from 1 species